GGCAUGCCUUACACAUGCAAGCCGAACGGCAGCACGGGAGCAAUCCUGGUGGCGAGUGGCGAACGGGUGAGUAAAGCAUCGGAACGUGCCCAGUCGUGGGGGAUAACGUAGCGAAAGCUACGCUAAUACCGCAUACGAUCUGUGGAUGAAAGCGGGGGACCGUAAGGCCUCGCGCGAUUGGAGCGGCCGAUGUCAGAUUAGGUAGUUGGUGGGGUAAAGGCUCACCAAGCCGACGAUCUGUAGCUGGUCUGAGAGGACGACCAGCCACACUGGGACUGAGACACGGCCCAGACUCCUACGGGAGGCAGCAGUGGGGAAUUUUGGACAAUGGGCGCAAGCCUGAUCCAGCAAUGCCGCGCGCAGGAUGAAGGCCUUCGGGUUGUAAACUGCUUUCGUACGGAGCGAAAAGGCUUCCACUAAUACUGGGGGCUCAUGACGGUACCGUAAGAAUAAGCACCGGCUAACUACGUGCCAGCAGCCGCGGUAAUACGUAGGGUGCAAGCGUUAAUCGGAAUUACUGGGCGUAAAGCGUGCGCAGGCGGUCUUGUAAGACAGGUGUGAAAUCCCCGGGCUUAACCUGGGAACUGCACUUGUGACUGCAAGGCUGGAGUACGGCAGAGGGGGAUGGAAUUCCGCGUGUAGCAGUGAAAUGCGUAGAUAUGCGGAGGAACACCGAUGGCGAAGGCAAUCCCCUGGGCCUGUACUGACGCUCAUGCACGAAAGCGUGGGGAGCAAACAGGAUUAGAUACCCUGGUAGUCCACGCCCUAAACGAUGUCAACUGGUUGUUGGGUCUUCACUGACUCAGUAACGAAGCUAACGCGUGAAGUUGACCGCCUGGGGAGUACGGCCGCAAGGUUGAAACUCAAAGGAGUUGACGGGGACCCGCACAAGCGGUGGAUGAUGUGGUUUAAUUCGAUGCAACGCGAAAAACCUUACCCACCUUUGACAUGUACGGAAUCCUUUAGAGAUAGAGGAGUGCUCGAAAGAGAGCCGUAACACAGGUGCUGCAUGGCUGUCGUCAGCUCGUGUCGUGAGAUGUUGGGUUAAGUCCCGCAACGAGCGCAACCCUUGUCAUUAGUUGCUACGAAAGGGCACUCUAAUGAGACUGCCGGUGACAAACCGGAGGAAGGUGGGGAUGACGUCAAGUCCUCAUGGUCCUUAUAGGUGGGGCUACACACGUCAUACAAUGGCUGGUACAAAGGGUUGCCAACCCGCGAGGGGGAGCUAAUCCCAUAAAGCCAGUCGUAGUCCGGAUCGCAGUCUGCAACUCGACUGCGUGAAGUCGGAAUCGCUAGUAAUCGUGGAUCAGAAUGUCACGGUGAAUACGUUCCCGGGUCUCGUACACACCGCCCGUCACACCAUGGGAGCGGGUUCUGCCAGAAGUAGUUAGCCUAACCGCAAGGAGGGCGAUUACCACGGCAGGGUUCGUGACUGGGGUGAAG
rnacentral:rRNA from 1 species